AGUGAACGCUGGCGGUAUGCCUAACACAUGCAAGUCGAACGGCAGCACAGUAAGUGCCUGCUCUUACGGGUUGCGAGUGGCGUGCGGAUGGGGUAGGCAUCCGAAUCUGCUUUUUCGGGUGGGAUUACGUAGGGAUACUUACGACAAUACCGCAUACGACCUACGGGUGUAAGCAGUGGAUCUUCGCAACUUGCGCGAUUCAAUGAGCCGCUGUCGGAUUUGCUCGUUGGCGGGGGAAAGGCCCACCAAGGCGACGAUCCGCAGCGGGUCUGUGAGGAUGAUCGGCCACACUGGACCUGGGACACGGUCCAGAUUCCUACGGGAGGCAGCAGUGGGGAAUAUUGGACAUGGGGCGCAAUCCUGACGCACACAGACCGCUUGGGGAAAGAAGGCCUUCGGGUUGUAAAGCCCUUUUGUUGGGAAAGAAAAGCAGGAGGUUAAUACCUCGCUGUUCUGACGGUAUCCAACGAAUAAGCACCGGCUAACUUCGUG
rnacentral:rRNA from 1 species